rnacentral:rRNA from 1 species
GUGAAGAUGCGGCGUACGGCUCAGUAACACGUAGUCAACCUGCCCUUAGGACGGAGAUAACCCCGGGAAACUGGGGAUAAUACUCGAUAGGUGAGAAUACCUGGAAUGGUUUCUCGCUGAAAAGAUCCUAAACCAUGCUUCAGGAAUCGCCUGAGGAUGGGACUGCGGCCGAUCAGGUAGUUGGCGAGGUAAUGGCUCACCAAGCCUAUAACCGGUACGGGCCGUGAGAGCGGGAGCCCGGAGAUGGGCACUGAGACAAGGGCCCAGGCCCUACGGGGCGCAGCAGCUACGAAAACUCUGCAAUGCGCGUAAGCGCGACAGGGCUAUCCCUAGUGUUAUUCGCUGAGAACAACUUUUCUUUGGUGUAAUAAGCCAAAGGAAUAAGGGGAGGGCAAGCCUGGUGUCAGCCGCCGCGGUAAUACCAACUCCCCGAGUGGUGGGGAUGAUUAUUGGGCCUAAAGCGUCCGUAGCCUGUUCUUCAAGUCUUCUGUUNAACCCAGCGGCCUAAUCGUUGGUCUGCAGGAGANACUGUAGGACUGGGAGGCGGGAGAAGGCGACGGUA